rnacentral:rRNA from 1 species
UACGUAGGUAGCGAGCGUUGUCCGGAAUAACUGGGCGUAAAGGGAGUGUAGGUGGCAAUUUAAGUGAAAUGUGAAAGACCGAGGCUCAACCUCGGAAUUGCAAUUCAUACUGGAUAGCUAGAGUGCAGGAGGGGUAUGUGGAACUCCUAGUGUAGCGGUGGAAUGCGUAGAUAUUAGGAAGAACACCAGAGGCGAAGGCGACGUACUGGACUGUAACUGACACUGAGACUCGAAAGCGUGGGGAUCAAAC